GUUCUCUCACAGGUGCUUCUGAAGUUGCCAUUUGGAAGCAGCAGUUUCUCCUGAAAGGUGGAGAAGGCAACACCAAAGUUCAGAGAGGAGAAGCAGCAUGAGAUCAGUCCUGUGGUGGCUUUGCUUUUUGCUUGAGCGAGGUACGGGUUGGAGUGGGAAACCAUUCCCAACGAGCAGCUUAUCUGCAGGCACCCCGCGUGAGAGAGCUUUCUGAUACAGGCAGGAGCCAUUCUCUGUCAGCUGCCCUUAAUGUGUUUGGGAGCGUUCUCGCACACGUUUCAUUUAUUAGUCAGCCAUGUAUUCAUCCUCCCUCCAAAGGACGUGAACUCAGAACUGCGGAGGAGGCGAACGAUCUGCAGGGGUCUGCUCCAUGCGUUGGUGCCUGUGAUGUGGGUCAGUGCAGUGAAAGCUCCUGGAGUGCAGAGCAGCCAGAUGAAUUUGGGAUAGCUGCGUAGGGAUAGUCCAAGAAUAAGGACAAUGUCCAACAGCACUGGGAGCUGGAUGCAGACAUCUGAGACUGCCGUAUGUGCGGCCAGGCCUGACUUCCAAGUUAGCCUCAGCUAACUUCAGAAAAUGAAACAAACACGAUUUACUCCCAGAUUUAUUUGAAAACUGUCUUGAGUUUGAUGUCCUUAUCUGAGCUGGGAACCUGGCUCUAACCCAGGACUGCAUCACAACAGUUCUGUCUCAGUGCUGGGCGAUGGGUGAGCUUGAAGCUUCCUGCUCUGGAAGCUACAACAGCCUGAGCCAAGCAGCCCCACAGGGAACCUGCUGAGGGCGCAGAGCUCGUGCUCAGCCCUCACCUCUUCCACACCUCUCCUUCAGCACAAGGCAGAGCACAUCUCCAGCCUGCAGAUCUCCAGGUGAGUCUGGCGUUCUGUUAGCACUGCUGCUGCCCAGGGAUGUCUGUUUGAUCUGCUGGGUCUGAGAGGCUCAAGGAAAGGAAGCACAGCUGGCACUGGUGCCUGCCCAGGCCAGGCAGUGUUUGGUGUUGGUGCUGUUACCUCUGCUGCUGCUCUAGGUAAAUAUAUUGUCACCUGGGAAACUGUCACAAGGGAAAUGACAAUCUGAACGAGUUGUGUGUGUGCGUUUGCAUAGCAGAGUUUCUGCCUGUUGUAGUGUUUAAAUUAGACUGCUUUGAUAAGUCCUGACUUCUCACAC